AUUAAAAAAUAAAAUACUGAAAUAUUAAACUAGAUAUUAAAAAGACAAAGAUAACAUUAAAGAGCAAAGAAAGAAAAUAAAAAGACCUAAAAAGAACUUAUCUGGGUUUAAUAUGCUACAUUUCCUAAUUAAGUGUAAUAUAAUUUACUAAUUUAUCAUUUAAUUUGUUACACGUUAAAUUAUAUUAUAGACAUAAUGCCUUUG
rnacentral:misc_RNA from 1 species